CCGCAUUCUGAAACCCUCCUGGCGGCCUCGGCCCUGGCCGCCAGGAUAAGAAUGAAUGCCAGAGGAAAAAGACGAUCAUCCAAAACGUGGAGCUCCGCCCGUGGCUCGCCGUUAUUUCACGUCCUCGACACU
rnacentral:snoRNA from 1 species